rnacentral:misc_RNA from 1 species
AUGAGAAUCGUUCCCGCAGCGGAAACAUUCAAAUAUACUUCGUAGAGAAGUCGCCCUUAAUCAGGUUUAGGCCUGUUACCACUCGUUGUCAGUUUAGAGUUCAACCUAUUUAUCCUUAAAACUAGAUACGAACGAUUGCGCAUAGAAUAUCCUUUAGCUGACUGUGUCAAACAAGUUAUAAAAAGUAGCGACUGAGGUUUUUGGAUGAUCGAUCCUUUGGAAGUUUGUUUCUACCUAUUGACUCGUUAGUAGAUCAGGAAACAAACGGACAACAGAGCGAUGGCACGAACUGAAGCGUUGGUUAAGC